UACGUAGGGUGCGAGCGUUGUCCGGAAUUAUUGGGCGUAAAGAGCUCGUAGGCGGUCUGUCGCGUCGGUCGUGAAAACUUGGGGCUUAACCCUGAGCUUGCGGUCGAUACGGGCAUGACUGGAGUUCGGUAGGGGAGACUGGAAUUCCUGGUGUAGCGGUGAAAUGCGCAGAUAUCAGGAGGAACACCGGUGGCGAAGGCGGCAUCCUGGACCAACACUGACGCUGAGGAGCGAAAGCCAGGGGAGCAAACGGG
rnacentral:rRNA from 1 species